rnacentral:rRNA from 1 species
CCUACGGGAGGCAGCAGUCGGGAAUCUUGCGCAAUGGGCGAAAGCCUGACGCAGCAACACCGUGUGGGCGACGAAGGCCUUCGGGUCGUAAAGCCCUGUUGUUGGGGACGAAGGACGGAGGGUUAAUAGCCCCUAGUCUGACGGUACCCUUCGAGGAAGCCCCGGCUAACUACGUGCCAGCAGCCUCGGUAAUACGUAGGGGGCGAGCGUUGUCCGGAAUUAUUGGGCGUAAAGAGCGUGUAGGCGGUUCGGUAAGUCUGCCGUGAAAACCCGGGGCUCAACCCUGGGCGUGCGGUGGAUACUGCCGGGCUAGAGGAUGGUAGAGGCGAGUGGAAUUCCCGGUGUAGCGGUGAAAUGCGCAGAUAUCGGGAGGAACACCAGUAGCGAAGGCGGCUCGCUGGGCCAUUCCUGACGCUGAGACGCGAAAGCUAGGGGAGCGAACAGGAUUAGAUACCCUGGUAGUCCUAGCCGUAAACGAUGAACACUAGGUGUGGGGGGAGUCGAAUCCUCCAGUGCCGCAGCCAACGCGUUAAGUGUUCCGCCUGGGGAGUACGGCCGCAAGGCUAAAACUCAAAAGAAUUGACGGGGGCCCGCACAAGCAGCGGAGCAUGUUCUUUAAUUCGAUGCAACGCGAAGAACCUUACCUGGGCUUGACAUGGUGCUGCAAGCGCACGGAAACGUGUGACCUUCGAGGGUGCACCACAGGUGCUGCAUGGCUGUCGUCAGCUCGUGUCGUGAGAUGUUGGGUUAAGUCCCGCAACGAGCGCAACCCACGUGGCGUGUUGCCAGCAUUAAGUUGGGGACUCACGCCAGACUGCCGGUGACAAACCGGAGGAAGGUAGGGAUGACGUCAAGUCAUCAUGGCCCUUACGCCCAGGGCUAGAAACGUGCUACAAUGGCUGUACAAAGGGUAGCAAGACCGCAAGGUGGAGCGAAUCCUCAUCAAAAACCGUCUAAGUUCGGAUCGGGGUCUGCAACUCGACCUCGUGAAAGCGGAGUGCUAGUAAUCGCGAUCACCAUGCCCGGUGAAUACGUUCCCGGG